CCAAGGUGGGCGCUCUUGGCUGUUUCCACAUCCUCGGGAUAAGGGAUUUGGCGGCAUUGAGUAGCGGCAGCUCCAGGGAUUUUUUGUAUGCUGUCAGUGGGCUUCGGGUGUGGUGCAAAAGCAUCGUUAGGGGUGCCAGGGGGAUAUCGGUGCCUGUAAUUUUGUUGACCUCUCCCCUAAUUUGUUCCCAGAAAGGGGCAAUUACUGGGCAUGACCACCACAUGUGGAUAUACGUGCCAGGUUGUGUGCCACAUCGCCAGCACAUGCCUGACGUGGUACCGUGCAUGCGGUGCAGUG